GACCCCUUAGCUCAGUGGUAGAGUGUGUGAUUCCAGCCUUCAUCUAUUGGAGCUUCCACAAAGUCAUCUGUUCAAAUCAGGUAGGGGUCA